GACGGAGGGUGCAAGCGUUGCUCGGAAUCAUUGGGCGUAAAGGGUGCGUAGGCGGCUUUUUAAGUCUGACGUGAAAGCCCAGGCUUAGCCUUGGAAGUGCGCCAGAAACUGGAAGGCUAGAGUGCCGGAGGGGAGAGUGGAAUUCCUGGUGUAAGCGGUGAAAUGCGUAGAUAUCAGGAGGAAUACCGGUGGCGAAAGCGACUCUCUGGACGGUAACUGACGCUGAGGCACGAAAGCGUGGGGAGCAAACAGG
rnacentral:rRNA from 1 species